GAGUUUGAUCCUGGCUCAGGAUGAACGCUAGCGGCAGGCUUAACACAUGCAAGUCGAGGGGUAUAAGUAGCUUGCUACUUAGAGACCGGCAAACGGGUGCGGAACACGUACGCAAUCUGCCCCUAUCUUGGAGAUAGCCCAUAGAAAUGUGGAUUAAUACCCAAUAGUAUAAUUGGAUGGCAUCAUUUGAUUAUUAAAGAAAUUCGGAUAGGGAUGAGCGUGCGUAAGAUUAGCUAGUUGGUGAGGUAACGGCUCACCAAGGCCACGAUCUUUAGCUGAUGUGAGAGCAUGAUCAGCCACACGGGCACUGAGACACGGGCCCGACUCCUACGGGAGGCAGCAGUGAGGAAUAUUGGUCAAUGGACGGAAGUCUGAACCAGCCAUGCCGCGUGAAGGAUGAAGGCGUUCUGCGUUGUAAACUUCUUUUAUCAGGGAAGAAACCUAUUUUUUCUAAGAUAGUUGACGGUACCUGAGGAA
rnacentral:rRNA from 1 species